UACAGAGGGGGCAAGCGUUAUUCGGAAUUAUUGGGCGUAAAGGGCGCGUAGGCGGCUUUGCAAGUGGCGGGUGAAAUCCCUCGGCUUAACCGAGGAACUGCCUGCCAGACUGUGAGGCUUGAGACCGGGAGAGGUGAGUGGAAUUCACAGUGUAGCGGUGAAAUGCGUAGAUAUUGGGAGGAACACCAGUGGCGAAGGCGGCUCACUGGACCGGAACUGACGCUGAGGCGCGAAAGCGUGGGGAGCAAACAGG
rnacentral:rRNA from 1 species